rnacentral:rRNA from 1 species
ACAUACCUAUACGUUGCCUCGGCGGAUCAGCCCGCGCCCCGUAAAACGGGACGGCCCGCCCGAGGACCCCUAAACUCUGUUUUUAGUGGAACUUCUGAGUAAAACAAACAAAUAAAUCAAAACUUUCAACAACGGAUCUCUUGGUUCUGGCAUCGAUGAAGAACGCAGCAAAAUGCGAUAAGUAAUGUGAAUUGCAGAAUUCAGUGAAUCAUCGAAUCUUUGAACGCACAUUGCGCCCGCCAGUAUUCUGGCGGGCAUGCCUGUUCGAGCGUCAUUUCAACCCUCAAGCUCAGCUUGGUGUUGGGACUCGCGGUAACCCGCGUUCCCCAAAUCGAUUGGCGGUCACGUCGAGCUUCCAUAGCGUAGUAAUCAUACACCUCGUUACUGGUAAUCGUCGCGGCCACGCCGUUAAACCCCAACUUCUGAAUGUUGACCUCGGAUCAGGUAGGAAUACCCGCUGAACUUAAGCAUAUCAAAGGCGGGGAGGAAGAUCAUUACCGAGUUUACAACUCCCAAACCCCUGUGAACAUACCUAUACUUGCCUCGGCGGAUCAGCCGCGCGGUAAAAGGGGACGGCCGCGAGGACCUAAAACUCUGGUUUUUAGGUGGGACUUUCUGAGUAAAACAAACAAAUAAAUCAAACUUUCAACAACGGGACUCUGGGUUCUGGCAUCGAUAAAACGCACAAAUGCGAUAGUAAUGUGAAUUGCAAAUCAGUGAAUCAUCGAACUUGAACGCACAUGCGCCCGCCGUAUUCUGGCGGGCAUGCCUGUU